rfam:Myotis brandtii contig282778, whole genome shotgun sequence.
GGUGGUUCUCGGGUGAUGCACCCUGGAAUCUCUCUGGUUCCAGGUGUAUCACCCGAGAACCGCA